GACGAACGCUGGCGGCGUGCUUAACAUAUGCAAGUCGAACGGUAAGGCCCUUCGGGGUACACGAGUGGCGAACGGGUGAGUAACACGUGGGGGAUCUGCCCUGCACUUCGGGAUAAGCCUGGGAAACUGGGUCUAAUACCGGAUAGGACUCCUGGCUGCAGGGUUGGGGUGGGAAAGCUUGUGCGGUGUGGGAUGGGACCGCGGCCUAUCAGCUUGUUGGUGGGGUAAUGGCCGACCAAGGCGACGACGGGUAGCCGGCCUGAGAGGGUGACCGGUCACACUGGGACUGAGAUACGGCCCAGACUCCUACGGGAGGCAGCAGUGGGGAAUAUUGCACAAUGGGCGCAAGCCUGAUGCAGCGACGCCGCGUGAGGGAUGACGGCCUUCGGGUUGUAAACCUCUUUCAGCUAUGACGAAGCGCAAGUGACGGUAGUAGCAGAAGAAGGACCGGCCAACUACGUGCCAGCAGCCGCAGUAA
rnacentral:rRNA from 1 species